GUGGGGAAUAUUGCACAAUGGGCGAAAGCCUGAUGCAGCAACGCCGCGUGAGGGACGACGGCCUUCGGGUUGUAAACCUCUUUUAGUAGGGAAGAAGCGAAAGUGACGGUACCUGCAGAAAAAGCACCGGCUAACUACGUGCCAGCAGCCGCGGUAAUACGUAGGGUGCAAGCGUUAUCCGGAAUUAUUGGACGUAAAGAGCUCGUAGGCGGUCUGUCGCGUCUGCUGUGAAAACUGGAGGCUCAACCUCCAGCCUGCAGUGGGUACGGGCAGACUAGAGUGCGGUAGGGGGGAUUGGAAUUCCUGGUGUAGCGGUGGAAUGCGCAGAUAUCAGGAGGAACACCGAUGGCGAAGGCAGAUCUCUGGGCCGUAACUGACGCUGAGGAGCGAAAGCGUGGGGAGCGAACAGGAUUAGAUACCCUGGUAGUCC
rnacentral:rRNA from 1 species